GUCACUGUGCCAUGAUGUAGGACAUUAGAACUCACCCCCGCUGGAUAUUGGCACCCGCUCCCAAGCUCUCUCUGUCCCCUCCGCCUGGCUGUCUCUGUCUUGCUCCAGGGUGGACGGCUAAGCGUCUGUUGGGGGAGGAGGAAGUGUGUCCUCAGUCCGGGCUCCCGACCCACACGACCUCAUGGGUGGCGGUGCCACUUGCCAACAAAGGAGAUGGGGGUGAAGAAAUGUGUUUUGGAGGAGGCUGGAAAGUGCCCGACAAAUGGUGUAUUCGUGUAUUCCGCUGGAUACAGGCUGAGUCUGAGUCAUGCAGGAAGCAUUUAAUUCACACUUUCUACAGUCCCUAAGACACCUGGGUGCCGCUCAGGAGAGAUGGGAGGGAGGGAGGGAGAAGUCCAGGUCACGAGCGUGGAAAAUGCCAUCUAGAGGCAGCGUGGAGAAAAAGCGUUUGCACCCAAGAUAGCAAAAGUUCCGGGCGACGGUGGCCGUGGGGGCCCAAGAAAGACCUGUCCGAGAGAAAGAGCAGAGAUGGGCCGGUCAUCCAGGACCGAGAGGGUGAAGAGAGUCCUCGGGUUCAGGACAGAAGUGUCACAGGUGGCCUGAGAAAUCUUCCGGAGGUUGGAAUCCCAAGGCUGUGGUUCACGGCCACUCACUGGUGCCCUGACCCAUGAAGGAAAUGAGACAGAGAGGCAGCCAUGAGGUACUGGCCAGGAGAAAGGAGGGACGGGAGGACAGGCGGAAACCACCCCCCAAAAGUCACCCCAAACAGGAGGGAAAGGGUCAAGGCAUGGACCCUCAUGGGGAGGACCAAAUUCAUGGCAGUGGCCAGGAGGCUGGACAUGGAGCUGCGAUUUAAAUGUUUAUUUUCAGGGAGACUCGAACCACAUCUGGAGCCUCGGUUUAACUUCGGCCAACAUUCAACAGCUGUUUCCUUUUUCAGUGCUCAACAGUGCACAUUUAAGGACAUUUUAAAACUAAUGUUUUCUAACUGCUACAAAUGUAACUCGGUAUUUUUUUAAACAAGGGCCCAAAUGAUUUCAAUCCAGAGGAUGUAGAUCCUACAAGGAAGCAAAGAAACAAGCCGCUUUUAGCAGUUGCAGAAAUGGAACCCCAGAGGGGCUUUAAAAGCGUGAGUCAUGAAAGAAUAAGUGCGAAGUUCGAACAUUUCCCGGAGAUCCCUGAGGGACAAGGGACUUGGCCCGGGUCUCCAGAGGGGAAGGAAGGUACCAGGAAGGAGCCACUUGCUGCCAGACCAGGAGCUGGUGCAGACAUCUGGGCUGGGCGCCACUGCAGCAGCGACAGAACCUGCCGGGACCCAGGGCCACCAAAGGGGCACACGGGGACAGCCUUGCUGCUGCAGAGAAAGGCUGCUACACGGAGACGGGGAGCCAGGCAGGAUCCUGGGGUUCCUGGCUCCAGGGAGAGAGGUGGGUCUGGUGAGCAAUCAUCUGUGACUGUUUUUAGCAUACUGCAGCCAUUCCUCAUUUAAUAACCGAGUUCCCUUCCUGCGACUGGGUGGUUAAGAGAACAGCUUCUAAAUGAAGAAUUGUAUAGCAUAGGAACACUACAAUACUCAGAACAAAGGAAUGGUCAAAGGAAACUCCAACUUGAUGACUUCGCUUUUAUUUCUGUAACUCUUACAUCCAGCACUGUAAUGCACAACAACAAAAAGUACAGCACUGCCCUGCAUAGUAAGGCCAGCAAAAAUUACAGUACUGUAUAAACAAGGCGUACUGUACAAAAAGACACUGAGGCUCUAUUAGCAAGGUAUACAGAACUGUACCCCCAAAAAGGUCAUAAAUCCAAACAACGCACCUCCAUCAUAAAUCUGAGUAGUCGUUCAACAGGUAGGUCGUCAAAUGAGGAAUAGGAGUAUUUGUAUUUUAAGCUCCCAGGUGAGGUGGCUGAGACCCAUAGGCCACACAGCCGUGCAGGACACUGACAGUAUACUACGUGGCAGACAGUGACUGAGCAAGGCCCUCAGCCUCGGACAGCUGCCCUAAACUAAAGGACAGGACAGCUCCUCAGGUCUAAGAUGCUGUGUGCUUGCUCUGCCUGAUUUGUAACAUACGUGUAGGAGAGGAAACUCAUGAAACUGGUCAUCAUUUUAAUCCAUGUCUGCUGGACUCUGGAGCAGACACAUGGGGUGGGGGAUCCUAAAUGUCCCCCCAGACCUAUUCACCCAAAUCAGGAGUAAAUCACUAGAGAAGCACAACUCAAAAUCAGCAAGCUGUUUUCCUUCCUUUUUGUUUGCAGAAACUCAUCUGGAUUUAGCUGACCACAGGGGAAAAGUUUACUUCCAGAAAAUACGUCAGAACCGACUCUUUAUUUCCGCAUUUCUAACAUGGACUAGUCUCCAAAUAUUUCUACACGCCUCAAGUGGGAUGUGAAACCGAUUCAUAGUUUUCAUGUGAUAAUGAUUUUCCCCUAAAACAAACAUUAAAUUGAUGAGCUAAUCAGGAAGCAUCUUAGAAUUGAGGAGCUAUACCAUGUUUUUCAGGUGGUAAAUACCUUGGAAACUUACAGUGGAGCCAUUUUAAGAGAGGAAGUUCUAGAAAAUGCCUCUCAUGUGACCCAACACGGCUGUGACAUGGACCAUAGAGAGACCAUGCCCUGCCUACAAUGCCAGGAGAAAUGAGGGCACCGGAGAAAACAGCUGCCAACUGGACCUUUCCUAAACUCAGUCCUGAAGGACCGGCCAGGGUCUGUCUACGGCAGAUGCAAAAUUCCUUGCAAAUCUUUGCUGCAAUAAGGUGUAUGCUGUACAAGCUGGCUUAUGAUCUCACAGCACUGCGCAUGUGGCGAGAGGUGUCCUUUGUUGUUUGCACGGUAUUGAGUUUUACACUAGCAGAUCAUUUCAUUUUUAUUGGUGCAAAAGCAAGGUUUAACAUAAAUUCUUGGAUCACUUAUAGUUUCACAAAGCUACUUAAUUCCCUGAUCAUCUUUCUCUCAUCUGUAAGGAGAAAUGAAUAGCUGUAAUAGUGAUAUAAGGAUCAUUACCUAUCAACAAAGAUUAUUCCAGAAUUCUUUCUGGAAUCAAAUGAGCUAUGAAGAAAAGAACAAACCAAAAGAUAAAAAGAUCAUGGUAUUCAAUAAAUGGUAGUUUGUUCUCCAUGGUAUUUUAUACUUCUUUCUAUUGCAAAGGGGGAGAAUUUUACCGCUGCAAUCAACAAAUAUAUGAAAAGAACUUACCACCAUCAAUGGUGACACAUCCCAAUGUAGCUAAUUAUUUCACCUGAUUCAGAGUGAGACUCUGUCGCAAAUUAAAACCAAAGGCAUAUAAUUUCAGAGGAAAGACUGCCCUGAAUGACAAGAAGGAAUAUAAUGUAAGUACAGCAGAAGACCAUGACUCAGAAGUCGCCCGGUGGGACUGAGUAGCUCGCACUGUACGAGUCUGUGCUCCCCUUACGGACAGGAGAUACAAUUAAUUCCCCACGAGUGAAGAUAAAGAUCGUUCUAUCCCUUCAGGAAUUGUCUGAUACUUUUCAAGAAAGAACACUCAAAUUGAAAUGUAGAGGGGAAAAAGGGCAAAUAAAUAAGCACGCCUAGCUUCAGGGAACAUUGUAGCUUUUGUUCUUCUUGAGUUCUUCGUUUUGCGAGGUUGGAGUCUUCUGCGGUUGAAAGUUACAAGAAGGGGCUGCUGUUUCAGCUGUGCUCCCACCAAGGCCCAUGUGGGACAUCUUCCCUACUUGGUACUGCAUCCAGAGAUCAAAUACUUUGGAAAGAUGCUAAAUACGUAUUUGUGAGAUAAGACACACAAGGGCUGAUCUAUUGACAAGAUUAAGGUUCUCCAGCACACUGCUGUCUUGCACGUGUCUGCCCAUGUAUUUCCUCAAAGAGAGCCUCAGCACUCCACCAUGCUACUUCCAAUCUGUUAAGUGUUGGUUCCCUCCCCCUCCCUUCUCUUUACUAGGAGACUUUAGGGAGGGUGGUUCCCCUCCCUUGCCCCAAGCCAUAUCUCCUGGGCUCGAUGCCCCCGAUGCUCCACUGUGGGUUGACUUGGGCCAACCGGUAGGAGAGACCACUAGGACCCAAGAGUGAGAGUUAACGAUGU